GGCGAUCGGGCCACUGGCGGGCCGGGAUUGGCCCGAUCUGGAGACUCUGGGACAGCCCGCGCUCCCGUCACGUGGCUGCCGCCCAGGUAAGAGGAGGCUGCUCCUCUGGGGCUCCCGGUCCUUCCCCGGUCCGUGAAGCGCGCGGCCGCGGAUCCCAUCCCUCCUCCACCAGCUUGGGCUGCAUGAGCUGGGGGCGGGCCCCCGUCGUCCUGCUCGGCGGAGGGGCCACGCUGCUCCUGUCGUUCCUUUGGAUGCCCGCGCUGCUGCCGGUGGCCUCCCGCCUUCUGUUGCUACCCCGAGCCUUGCUGUCCAUGGCUUCUGGAAGCCCUCCCCUGCCCUCUCCGGCCUCGGCCUCGGGCUCCGGCUACGUUCCAGGAUCGGUUUCUGCAGCCUUUGUCACUUGUCCCAACGAAAAAGUCGCCAAGGAGAUCGCCAGGGCCGUGGUAGAGAAGCGCCUAGCCGCCUGCGUCAACCUCAUCCCGCAGAUCACUUCCAUACUUUGUUCCCUUCUUUCUCUGACCUCUUCAGCUAUGAAUGGAAAGGAAAGAUCGAGGAAGACAGUGAGGUGUUGAUGGUGAGAAAAUACCCCUCUUGUCUGGCUCCUUGGGCAGCUCUGGCCCUCAUCUGACCUCAGUUCUUCCCCGUGGUUCAACUGUCUCUCUUUGCCCUUUAGAUGAUUAAAACCCAAAGCUCCCUGGUCCCUGCUCUGACAGAGUUCGUUCGAUCUGUGCACCCUUACGAAGUUGCUGAGGUGAUUGCAUUGCCUGUGGAGCAGGGGAAUCCCCCAUACCUGCAUU